rnacentral:rRNA from 1 species
CACGUAGGGCGCAAGCGUUGUCCGGAAUUAUUGGGCGUAAAAAGCUCGUAGGCGGUCUGUUGCGUCCGCUGUGAAAACUCGGGGCUUAACCCCGAGCCUGCAGUGGAUACGGGCAGACUAGAGGUAGGUAGGGGAGAAUGGAAUUCCCGGUGUAGCGGUGAAAUGCGCAGAUAUCAGGAAGAACACCCGUGGCGAAGGCGGUUCUCUGGGACGGUACUGACGCUGAGACGCGAAAGCGUGGGGAGCGAACAGG